AUGGGAUUUUUGCUCCUGUUCAUUUUCGCUGUAGCCGCUUUGGAAGGUGUCCGGUCCCAGGUGCAGCUGGUGGAGUCCGGCGGGGAUGUGAAAAAGCCCGGAGACUCUCUCCGCCUCUCCUGCAAAGCCUCCGGGUUCACCUUCAGCAGCUACGAGAUGAGCUGGCUCCGACAGGCUCCCGGGAAGGGGCUGGAAUGGGUCGCUUAUAUUAGCAGCAGUGGGGGUACUAUUUACUACCUUGAUUCAGUGAAAGGCCGGUUCACCAUCUCCAGGGAUAAUCCCAAGAGUGAGCUGUAUCUGCAAAUGACCGGCCUGAAGCCCGAGGACACCGCCCGCUAUUACUGUGUCCGGUCCCAGGUGCAGCUGGUGGAGUCCGGAGGGGAUGUGAAAAAGCCCGGAGACUCUCUCCGCCUCUCCUGCAAAGCCUCCGGGUUCACCUUCAGCGACUACGGGAUGCACUGGGUCCGCCAGGCUCCCGGGCAGGGACUGGAGUGGGUCGCUACAGUCAGUAAGCCAAGUGGAUCCAGCCAGUGGUAUUCCCCGGCCGUUCAAGGCCGAUUCACCAUGUCCCGGGACAACUCCGUCAGCUCGGCUUAUCUACAAAUGACCGGCCUCAAAGCCGAGGACACUGGCCGCUAUUACUGUGCUAGAGACACGACCAGAAAAUUACCAUUGGGG